rnacentral:rRNA from 1 species
AGUGAACGCUGGCGGUAGGCCUAACACAUGCAAGUCGAACGGCAGCACAGUAAGAGCUUGCUCUUACGGGUGGCGAGUGGCGGACGGGUGAGGAAUACAUCGGAAUCUACUUUUUCGUGGGGGAUAACGUAGGGAAACUUACGCUAAUACCGCAUACGACCUACGGGUGAAAGCAGGGGAUCUUCGGACCUUGCGCGAUUGAAUGAGCCGAUGUCGGAUUAGCUAGUUGGCGGGGUAAAGGCCCACCAAGGCGACGAUCCGUAGCUGGUCUGAGAGGAUGAUCAGCCACACUGGAACUGAGACACGGUCCAGACUCCUACGGGAGGCAGCAGUGGGGAAUAUUGGACAAUGGGCGCAAGCCUGAUCCAGCCAUACCGCGUGGGUGAAGAAGGCCUUCGGGUUGUAAAGCCCUUUUGUUGGGAAAGAAACGCAGCAGGUUAAUACCCCGCUGUUCUGACGGUACCCAAAGAAUAAGCACCGGCCAACUUCGUG